UCUACUAAAACACUAAAAGCCUUAUUAUUAUAAAUUUAUUCACGUAUGCAAUAUUAAUUGUUUGGAAUUGCUUGGGAAAUUACAUUGCAAAUCAUAUCCAUAAUAUACUUGGAUCUCAUGUCGCUUGUGCCAUUCAAUCACUGAACUUGUUGCAUGAAUGGAGCAAUAAAUCAUUGCCAUUUGAGCUGCUAUAUUUUCACUUUCAAGUCAUCAGCAGACCAAUUGCAUUAUUCAUGCUCCAGUUUGAGUUCCCCUUUUCAAUGCAAACAUUCCACAUUUGUUUUCGCAAUUAUAGACGUUCGGCCAUUUAAACGCUACAGAUUUAUCUGAGCCGUGCCACAGAGACAACAAAGUAAGACAACUGCCCCAGCAGACAUCCACAUCUGUCAGUUAAUUAAUGUGGAGGAGACAAUGAGGUCUGUGGUCCUCUACCAUUUGCAUCUUGCGUUUGGCACUCCACUUUUCGAUGAGCUUAUGAGCUCUUAUUGUAAUUAGGGGACAAUGAAGUCAAGUGGCGUUGGCAAGACAGGGAGUACCGCUUGCAUAUUCGAGCGUCCCUUGAAUGCCAAAUGCUUAUUAAAGUCGAAGAAAUAUUAUCAUAAUUAAUGCCCCGAACAGAAGUGCAAUACGGACCGCAGAAGUUUGUCCAGUUCUCUAGCUGGAAAUUUAUGCUAAGUCUGGAUUAUUUUACAAUAUAUUCUACACGUACGAUUAGGCCGACAAAGAGAGAGAGUAGUGUUAGACUUGGCACUAGACAUGUGAUAAAUAUUGCGGUCAAUAUUUCUCAUAAAUUCAACAAUACGAGUUCAAAAUUGCAGGCAGCAAUUUAUAUAAUUCCCCAACGUUGUGCAACAUGUUACUGGCCAAAUUAAUAUGCGGCCGUCUGCUUGUGCAACUCGCUUUCUGGCCUUAACCCUUUAAGAAGCUUAUACAAAUUGUGACGAUGACAGCGUCUGCCAAACUGGAGAAGACUGAAAUAACAUAUUCCCGACCAGACGAAGGUUGCCUAAUUUAAUGCAGAAAAACGCACACGCAAGCAACAGACGUGGCUGGAAAAGUUUGACAGGAGUUAGGAAUAUUUUAUUACCCACUGAAGCAUUUUCACUACACUUUUAUAUGGAAUAAUCUAAACUGUUCUUGGUCAAAGCUAACCAGAAGUCGGACACACCCUGCAGGCACCCUGGAGAACAUUAUGUUAGCCCAAACAGACGCCCCAAGGGGAAGCAACCAUCAAACCUUCCAGAGAACGAGGGAAACAGCAGGAUCCGCAACCAAGCGGAGUAUAAAUUAACAUAAUUUUCAUAUACACGCGCCAAAAGUUGCAACCACACCUAAAUCUAGCCAAAGGAAAAAGAAAUGGCGGGGGGACACAAAAAACCAAGGAUGGGAAACCUUAAGAGACAUAUGAAUUGCUUAACUUAAGGAAAAAUAUCAAAGAAAUUGUGUGUGUGUGUAGGGGUAUGGAGGAUGGGAAAAUGACAGUGUCCCACCCAAAUGACAGUUAUUAAUAUAUAUGCAAAAAAAAGUGUCUCGAAA